AGCUGAUGCAUUUCGUGGUUUCUCUCCCAGUACCACCGCAUUAGCUGUUCCCCUCUGGAGGUUUUUGACCUUCACAAUUAUAAGGGCCCUGGUUUUUCCGGUGGCCCUCUUUU
rnacentral:sRNA from 19 species